ensembl:lncRNA
CACAGCGUCACAAAGAGUCAGACAUGUCUGAAGCGACUUAGCACAUAUUAUUAGCUAUGUCUGCCUGUAUAUUUCGAAGAUGUCACAAGUUGAGUUUUCUCAGUUUUAAUCCUAAAUGCAAAUAAUUAAGUCCAGGAACAUUAAGUCUAUACACGUAAGGAUUUAUAUGCAUAGUUUUUGUGGCUAUCGCAGAAAGGAGCCGAGUUCCACACUGGUCAGCGCAAUGGAAGAGAGUGACAGCUUGCAUGAAGCGACAAGAUCAUCGAGAACCUCCCAAAGUCAGCAGAGGUGGGAACCUGCAGUAGGAACAUUGGUGAGGUAUGAGAACCAUCCUCCCAUCCUCUCCCCAAGAGUGGAUUUCCAUGGGACACAGAAAUCGGGCUUUGAGUAGAUUUCACCAGGUCUUUGGAACAAGUAAAUUUUAGACAAUACGUGCAUGUGCCAUCAACAUUACUGUCAUCCAUAAUAAAGUCUCAAAAUCUUUGGGCAAAGUCUAACUAUGGCUUUAAUAGUCAGAUUUGCACUUUUCCGUUUAUUUCAUUACAAUAUUACAUUUCCCCCUUGAAAUAUCAUGAUUGGGCUGAAGAUAAAAAAGACAGGGAAUUUUCCAUAUUGUUGCUUUCUAUCCCAAGAAAAGUUUUGACUCCAGCAGUCCUUGCUCUGAAUUGCACAGCAUCUCGAAUGGGACCAAGGCUAAUCUUCAAAAUAAUAUAAAAGAAGGAUGCUAAAAGAGAAAACAAAAGAUAGAGCAGCUGCUGACAACCAGUUUAGAACUCUUUACAUCAUAGUUUUGGACAUAUUAUUCUUUUUUCUUCUCUAAGAUGGCUUGUUCCACAGCCAGGCUCUCGGGGAAAGAUCAUCUGAAGCUGUCAUAUCAAAACAGCCUCCAGCUGGGACCAGAGGACAAGAUGGCACAGAAUAGGUUGAGUUCAUGAAUAAGGUAAUAAUGUCUGUUUCACACGUCAUCUAGUAAUUUGUUAAGAGCUGGAGGGGAUGAUGGUGACUGAAUUUUUUUAGGUGAUCACGUGCAUGCAUGCUAAGUUGUUUCAGUCAUGUCCAAAUCUUUGCGACCCCAUGGACUGUAGCCU